AAAUAAGCGCAACCUUAAUCUAGGAAUUAAAAAAAAAAACGACAGUCUCUCUUCCCUGCAAUCCAACGUCUCUCACAGCUCCAUCAUAACAUCUCCCUGCACAGGUGACCGGCGAAGCCACCGGAGAAACCACACUCACACGCUCGCACCCUCUCCCAACCUUUACUCUCAACCCUAAACCCCAUUACUCUCUCGCUUUCUCUGCCGACAUUGAUCUAGAUUACACUCAAGCUCAAAUUGCUCUCUCAAUUUGAAGAUGUACGACACAUUGCAAACGAAAUCUAAAGACUUUGAGUCGUAGGAUAGUUUAGGAGCUCCAUUCAUUUGUUGGACACAAUCUGGCAAGACAUGACCGACACCGAUUUAGAAAGAACAAAGCAUAUCAUGGCGGAUAUGAUCUGCCCUGUUCUGUUGGACACAAUCAUUAAAGGUUCUUCUUUACUUAAGUUCCCCCUUGAAAUUUAUUUGAUCUACUCAGUUUGUAGAAGUUUUAAGCAUUUGUUUAGUGAGGUUCUUUGAUUUCUUGCUGUAUGAAUUUAUGUGAAUUUUUUUAUUCUUUGAUUUGUUUGAUCUACUCAAUUGAAAUGUUCUGUCUCCACAUUCAAUUUCCUUCUCUGUAGUUGAGUUCAUUUCUGUUUCAAAGUAAGAUAGCUAAAGUAUGCACCAAUUGAAAUGCCUUUUAUGUUCACUUGUCUUGAGGUCAAUCUUCAUCAUAUAAACAAUGUUUCUUAGUAAAACGGUAAGUUGUGCUGCACAUAGUAAUUUGUGUAGGUGAUGGUAGUUAGUAUAUUGCUCAAGACUGGGCCAUUUAGUUCCUUCUGAAGAUAGAUAUUGUUGCAAUGAGGAGAUAAGUAUCUGCUUUAACAGUGUUGCAUUUUCUGAGUUUCAGUUACAAUUUUGUGGAAAAUAUAUUACUCUUAUUAGAGUUACUCCCUCUUUCCCGUCAUAUUGAUACCAUUUUGUAAGUACCAAAAAAAGGGAAAUAUGGAUUGAUUUCUGUCUACUAUAUUAACUGUAUUGACGUAUAAUGUAUUCACAUGUUCAUGCAGUUUUGAGUUUUUAACUAUAUUUUAAAAUAGUUAAAAGUAGAAAUUACUAACUUAUGGGGUAGACUGGCAGAAGGGUUAGAAACUACGUAUUUGUUGCCUCUUUAUACCGCAAAAUGUGUCGGGUUAUUGUUUUUGUAUAGCGUAGGCAGUAAACAUGGGAUAACACUAACAGCGCUAUUUUUACUGAUUGUAAGUGCAAUAUAGGUUUGAAAUGGAGCAUAAUAUAGGUUUGAAAUGGAGCUCCUUUUUGCAGUAUCAAAGGCGAUCCUCGAAUUUCUACCGUCAAUAUUAUCUGGAUUAAUCCAGGCACAACAACUUGGGUGCAAAGUCCUUGUAGCAGUACAAAGGGUGUAGCAGUACAAAGGGUGAAUUAGCUGUGGAAGUAGCUCUGGAGAAGGAAGCAGUCAGGCUAACUGGUGAUGCAUGGAGGAUUGUCCUAGAUUGUUGUCUGCCUGUUUUCCACCUGAUUGAUAGCAGUCAGGCUAACUGGUGAUGUGCCUUUGAUCAAGCAGUGCAGGUUUUCAAAACUCCAAGGGAGGGGACCUUUACCAAGGAGGAGUUGAAUGAAGUUCGAGACAAGUGGGCUACUUACUUCAACGAUUAUGAACUACCCUCAGUGUAAUAAGUAGAACAGGCUUGUAGUUAUCCGUUACUCUUACAUUAUUUUGUUAUUUAUCGAUUUAAUUAAUUACAUUUGAAUUAAUACGGUAAUAUUAUUGGAAAUUUGAAAUUAA